GAAAUGCGAUAAGUAAUGUGAAUUGCAGAAUUCAGUGAAUCAUCAAAUCUUUGAACGCACAUUGCGCCCGCCAGUAUUCUGGCGGGCAUGCCUGUCCGAGCGUCAUUUCAACCAUCAAGCCCCCGGGCUUGUGUUGGGGACCUGCGGCUGCCCGCAGGCCCUGAAAACCAGUGGCGGGCUCGCUGUCACACCGAGCGUAGUAGCAAUCACCUCGCUCAGGGCGUGCUGCGGGUUCCGGCCGUUAAACAGCCUUACAAAACCCAAGGUUGACCUCGGAUCAGGUAGGAAGACCCGCUGAACUUAAGC
rnacentral:misc_RNA from 1 species